CGUAGGAGGCGAGCGUUAUCCGGAUUCACUGGGCGUAAAGCGCGUGCAGGUGGUUCGGUAAGUUGGGCGUGAAAUCUCCCGGCUCAACUGGGAGAGGUCGUUCAAUACUACCGAACUUGAGAGCAGAAGAGGAAGAUGGAAUUCCCGGUGUAGUGGUGAAAUGCGUAGAUAUCGGGAGGAACACCAGUGGCGAAGGCGAUCUUCUGGUCUGUUUCUGACACUCAGACGCGACAGCUAGGGUAGUAAACGGGAUUAGAGACCCCGGUAAUCCUAGCCGUAAACGAUGUGAACUUGGCGUUGGUGGGUUAAACUCCAUCAGUGCCGUAGCAAACGCGAUAAGUUCACCGCCUGGGGACUACGGCCGCAAGGUUA
rnacentral:rRNA from 1 species